AUGGUGAUCGGCAAGAACAGAGCACCGAGGAUCGCCGGAGUCUCCUCGUGCGAUCCGAGCAGCGCGGUCGUCGAGCUCCUGAAACCCGAUGUUGUGACACCGGGCCUAAACGUACUUGCAGCAUGGACAGACGUCGCGGCUCAGCCUAAGAAGAAACACCCCGACUGUACGCCGGCCAUGAUACGAUCGGCGAUGAUGACCACGGCCAAGACCGUGGAUAACACCGGGAAAUUCAUCGUCGACGACGAAGUCGACGAUGGCAGCACCGCGACACCGCUCGUGGCAGGGGUAGGGAUGGUACUUCCGCAGAUCACGAUGCGUCCGGGCAUGGUGUACGACCCCGCGCCGCACACGCAUCCGCACGCUGACGCGAACGAUGACCAGGGUGUCCGAGCAGCCAACCGAGACACACAAGGUGUCUGUCAGAGCGCUAGAGAGUGUAAGAUAACCGUGACGCCGGCAACGUUUGUGUUCAAGCAGCAGAGGGAGAAGAUGAGCGACAGAGUUGAGUGCUGCACACAUGUGGUGAAGCCGGCUGGGGCAUGGGACUUCUGUUCCAUCUCAUGGAUGAGCCUUAACCACAAGGCGACCAGGCCCAUCUACUUCACCUGGGGCAAGUGA
rnacentral:rRNA from 1 species